GCUCGCUCUCUCUCCCUCCCUCCCUCUCUCUCCCUCGCUGUAAGCGUUUCAUUCAGUGUAGAGGCAGGCGGAAGGCAGCACUGUUUCAUUCAUAUUCAGAGGGAUAAAGCAGCACUCACCGUGAGGACUGGGCAGAAGAGGAGGUCUGUCCUCAAUGUGUGUGUAAGUCACUGUGCUUGUCAGGGAGCAUCUCUAAUCUAACUAAGCCAGUGAAUAUCAGCAGUGAUCCCUGUGACUCUCAGCCUCAGGUGACCUUGGCAAUGCGGUGCCCACAUGCCAUUCUCACCUGAAUCCAAGCCAGCGCUCACUGACUGCUCUGAUCCACAAGUGCCCGGACCUCUGUGCCUGCAGUACUCUGAUCUACUGAUAGAGGGUGCUGUAGCACUCUUCAGCCAGCUCCACAAACAGUGCCUCCAGAGCAGUGAGACCACAGCCAGCUACUUCCUCAGGUCCAGUGAUAUGAUAAAUACCCCUGAGGUACGGCGCUGUGAGGGCCUUGGUGCUAAACGCAGAAGGACUUCCUGUGUCUCUCUCUGAGGGG